rnacentral:rRNA from 1 species
CAAGACCUUGCGCUCUUGGAGCGGCCGAUGUCUGAUUAGCUAGUUGGUGAGGUAAAGGCUUACCAAGGCGACGAUCAGUAGCUGGUCUGAGAGGACGACCAGCCACACUGGGACUGAGACACGGCCCAGACUCCUACGGGAGGCAGCAGUGGGGAAUUUUGGACAAUGGGGGAAACCCUGAUCCAGCCAUGCCGCGUGAGUGAAGAAGGCCUUCGGGUUGUAAAGCUCUUUCAGCCGGAACGAAACGGUCACGGUUAAUACCCGUGACUACUGACGGUGCCGGAAGAAGAAGCACCGGCUAACUACGUGCCAGCAGCCGCGGUAAUACGUAGGGUGCGAGCGUUAAUCGGAAUUACUGGGCGUAAAGCGUGCGCAGGCGGUUUUGUAAGUCAGAUGUGGAAUCCCCGGGCUUAACCUGGGAACU